CAGUCGCCGCGGUAAUACGGAGGGUGCAAGCGUUAAUCGGAAUUACUGGGCGUAAAGCGCGCGCAGGCGGUUUGUUAAGUCAGAUGUGAAAUCCCCGAGCUUAACUUGGGAACUGUAUUUGAAACUGGCAAGCUAGAGUCUUGUAGAGGGGGGUAGAAUUCCAGGUGUAGCGGUGAAAUGCGUAGAGAUCUGGAGGAAUACCGGUGGCGAAGGCGGCCCCCUGGACAAAGACUGACGCUCAGGUGCGAAAGCGUGGGGAGCAAACAGGAUUAGAUACCCCUGUAGUCCCUGUCUCUUAUAA
rnacentral:rRNA from 1 species